GAUGAACGCUGGCGGCGUGCCUAAUACAUGCAAGUCGAGCGAACAGACGAGGAGCUUGCUCCUCUGACGUUAGCGGCGGACGGGUGAGUAACACGUGGAUACCCUACCUAUAAGACUGGGAUAACUUCGGGAAACCGGAGCUAAUACCGGAUAAUAUAUUUAACCGCAUGGUUCAAUAGUGAAAGACGGUUUUGCUGUCACUUAUAGAUGGAUCCGCGCCGCAUUAGCUAGUUGGUAAGGUAACGGGUUACCAAGGCAGCUAUGCUUAGCCGACCUGAGAGAGUGAACGGCCACACUGGCACUGAGACACGGUCCAGAGUCCUACGGGAGGCAGCAGUAGGGAAUCUGCCGCAAUGGGCGAAAGCCUGACGGAGAAACGCCGCGUGAGUGAUGAAGGUCUUCGGAUCGUAAAACUCUGUUAUUAGGGAAGAACAAAUGUGUAAGUAACUAUGCACGUCUUGACGGUACCUAAUCAGAAAGCCACGGAUAACUACGUG
rnacentral:rRNA from 1 species